rnacentral:tRNA from 1 species
CGGGACGUGGCUCAGCUUGGUAGAGUACAUGACUGGGGGUCAUGGGGUCGCAGGUUCAAAUCCUGUCGUCCCGA